rnacentral:sRNA from 1 species
GUUACUCUUUUGUACUUUGUCUUUUUCUUUUAUUUUCUUUUGAGCGAUUGUGCGAACAUAGCAUAGCACGCACUAUGCCUUCUGUGUUGUAGCUGCCUGGCCAGGGCGACUGGCGGAUAAGGUCUUGUGCGUGGCCUCGAGGCUUAAAAGUAGCAGUGGGGCUUUGUGAAGGACAAAAUGGCGAUGGCGGGCCGUGUAGGUCCCCCUUCCUAUGAUGAGGACCUUUUCACAGACCUGUACUGAGCUCCGUGAGGAUAAAUAACUCUGAGGAGAUGGGCCCUGCAAGCCUCUUGCUUAGCCGUCUGUUCAGAAAAUAGCGUUUUCGAAAUGCCCUGAGUUGACCUAAUGUCUUAUUGGGCUCCUGUCUGCAGGAUUUACGCGCACGUUGGAACCGAAGAGAGCUCUGUUGUUGCAGUAAGUUCUUACGGCCAUUUCUUAAUCUCUGCUCUUUCGUUGAGUGUGUGGAAGUUGCUACGGGGAUGAUUUUACGAACUGAACUCUCUCUUUCUGAUGGAUUAGUGGAGAAAACAGAAAAUUCUGAGUAGCACUGUACUGUACGCAACAAAUGUCAGGGCCCUAUUGAUUUGUCUGAGGUGUUAGUGAAGGGUGUUAUUUUUUCAGAUGUUCAGCCCACAAGAGCUUACUGGUGAAGGAAUGGGACAAGACCCAUCUUUAUGCAAAGCCAGCGUUACAGUAAUGUUCCAGGUAGGUGUACAUGGUUUAUGCUCUUACAGAGGAGACCUUGUAGAUAACCACUCCAUGAUGAACACAAAAUGACAAGCAUAUGGCUGAACUUUCAAGUGAUGUCAUCUUACUACUGAGAAGUGAGAGAGAGGUCUUAAGGGGUCUUUGAAUGACUAUUUUUAGGUACAUAAAAUGCUUUCCUCUGUUGUCUACAGCAUCUCAUAAUCUAUCCUGGGGAAUUCAGCUGCCUCCCAGGGUGAAUACAGGUAAUUAUCCAAAUUGGUGUAUGUCAUCUUUGUAAAUGUUCAAGAAAACAAGUGGCCGGCGGAACAAUGUUUUUUGGCGCCUUCCAUCUUGUUCCUCUUGAAAUGAUUUUCUGGGGAGGGAGAUCGCAACCCGGUACUACAGUUCUUGUAAGGGUGUGCUGUUACCCUCAUCCAUAUAUCGAUCACGUUACUGUCAGAUGAUUUGAAUUGAUAAGCUGAUGUUCUGUGAGGUACAAAAGUUAAUAGCAUGUUAGAGUUCUGAUGGCAGUUGUUGUUUAUGAAUAAGCUUCAUUCCAUCCUAAUACCUUAAAAUAACUAAUUUGCUUUCCUUUCCAGGUAUUCCUGAUGACAGUCUGCCUCUAUCUUACAGUAAGUUGUUUUUCGAAUUCUAUGGGCCUAUUAUCUAAUAGAUAACUUAGCCAUUUUGAUAUUUGUUACCAAAGCCUGCUUAACCCAUAAAGUUUUCUGGUUCCUCUUGUUCUCUGUAGUGAUGUUUCUAGAUAGAUGCCCACUGAUAUAUGCCCCUUUUUUCUCAGAUAGAUGCCCACUGAUCUGCCCAGGGUCAGACGAAUGCUUGUCAGUUGUAGCUUUCCAGGAUUCUGCUCCAAUGAGGAGGAAACAUCCUGCCUUACCCCUGUUUUAGCCUGGGAACCAGUAAUUGUGAACUCACCAGGGUUAACAUGAAGAGGGCAUGAGAGCUUAUUCCAUAAGGAAUUGUCUGAGACAUUUGGUUACCUUUUCUUAGUUUGUCCAUUAGCAACCGUAACUAAAAUAGUUUUGGCUGUUUGGGAUAAUUAGCUAAUUGAAUGAUUUUUUGAUUCAGGAGCAGCUUGUUGCUAUAUACCAUUGAAAAGCCUUCAGAGCUGAGAGGUUAGUUGAUAUUUUUUGUUCCUUACAGCUUAUGCCACCAAGUAGGCAGUUUCUAUGAUGAAUCAAACUAGCUCACUAUGACCGACAGUGAAAAUACAUGAACACCUGAGAAACUGGAGAACGCAGGGAGUGGGGGGUAACCAUGUCUGAGGAAUCUUUCACCCACAGCUUUGUUUUUCUUUAGGUACUACUAACCAAUAACCUGCUUGGCUCAAAGGGCCAGCACCUUCUCUCUAAAGCCCAAGAGGAGUUUGAGGUAAAUGGCUUUGCAAUAGUUACCAUCAAUGGCUGCUAUAUAAAAUUUUCUGUGAUUUUUGUGUGUGAUAGCACUGUGGUCUGGGUGAAUGUACACAGACAUAACUGGCUUAACCCAAAGUCUUUGAUCUCCUGAACCACCAGUGAUGAAUUGCUGCUCACCAGUGAUGAGUUGAAUACCGCCCCAGUCUGAUCAAUGUGUGACUGAAAGGUAUUUUCUGAGCUGUGAGCCUGCCUUCCAGUGACAUGUUCUAAAAAUUGCAAGUUAUUUGAGGAGGCUUUACAGCCAAUAGGAAGUUCUUGGGCUAAGUAGUGUUUCCUAUAAAAUGUGCCCUGAAACUUCUUUCUGCCAAGCAAUAGAUACAAUUGAGAGAUUGUAAAAUGUGACAUAGAAUGAAAGUCUCUCAAGACUACAUUUUUCUUUCUUGAUUUUGCAGGAAAACUAGGUGUCUGUGUUCACUCCAGGCUGAAGUUACAGGUGAGUAAACCUAAAUGUAAGGUGGACUAUGCUAAAAAUUCCCAAUGAAGAAACUUUCACAUGUCUUACUCUCUGUCCUAGUCCCAGAGCCUGUAAAGGUGAACCCACUGGGACUGGCUGGGGGAGAAGAGGAAGAUUUGUUCCAGAAGGAACUGUCUGAGGGAUGAUAAAGAUUUCUAUACAGAGAAAGGGAGUAAUCAUCACUUGUUGAAAACAUUGGUUUUAUUUUUUCCAGGUCUGAGCAAAUAAGGUGUAUAAAAAAUGGAAUCUGUCUUGGAGGACAUCAGAAGGUGAAUUUUCCAAGUUCUUGGACAACCUAGCUGUUGAAAAGCUUUCUGGGUUUGGGGGGUAUUUCAGAUGUACCUUAAAGUGUUAGCAGACACAGAUUAAGACACUGGGAGCCAAUGAAACAGCAGUUGAGGGUUUGCUGUGUAUCACAUUUCUGUAUUUUAUCACCCCCUUCCUGCAACAUUAUUUAUCUGGAAUCUACCUGCCCUUUUGUUUUUUAGAUACAAGGGCUUGGUUUUGUUACCCAGGCUGGUUUCAAGGCCAUAGCUUUAAGAGAUCCUCUCACCACAGAUUUCCAAAGUGCUGGGAUUGCAGGUGUGAUUCAUGGCACCCAGACUUUGCUGCCUUUCUUACAUGAUCCAGGCCCAGAACCCAAACUCAGGCACUGUAUAGAUGACCACUUUCGUAAACUACUGACCUAGCUUGUUGCCAAUUGUUGAUUGAACUUCCCAUAACUCCACUUCGUGUCUGUUCCUCUGUAUACAGCCACCUUCUGUUCCCGUCAUGAGCCUUUAGGUCUCCAUUUGCAUAUUGCAAAUACUAUGUUCCAUGUAGGUAGCUCAUUCAGGGCCUUGCUCUUCACUUCAAAAAAGGUUCCCUUGAGGACUGGCUGUCAAUUUGUGUUGCUGUGUUGGUUGUUGAUGAAAAUAAUAAAAUGA